GAAGAAAGAUAAUAUUGAUAGUAGGUUUAAAAUAGAUGGUCAGGGGCAAGCCAUGCCCUACUGUUGGGAUUAAAUCUCAUUUUUACAAUAAUUGGGAACCACUGAAGAUGUUUAAGAAAAAGAUGGCAUGAUAAAAUCUGUAAGAUAAAGAGAUUUUAAGAAAUACAUUUAUGGAUGUCAUUUUGUCUUAUCAGGAAGAAAUAAUGGCUCAUAAGAUCUUUGGUGAGGAAACAUUCUUAGCAAGAAUUUUCCAUUAGUCCCUCACUUCCUCUGCCUUUUUCCUUGCUAGAUUAUCAAAUCAUUGUGUUCUGCAGUCCCUUACCCUUUGCCUUGACAUCCAGGCAGUAACAUGUAGUUCCUUGUUAAAGCCUCCCUCUUGCUUCCUCCUUAGGAACUUGUCACUACCUGAGAUACGGUUGGCAUGUAUUAUUCGCCUUCAUUCCCCUCUUCUCUCUCUUUCUUGAGGGUGUGUGUUGCCCCCUCGAAGUGAAGGAAUUUUGCUCCAGAGCGAGCUGGGACCGAAGACUCUAGGCUAAGUUAUCUCUCUAUGUAGAUGGUGUCAGGGAGCGAAGCUACUGACCGAGCCGCUGUUACAUCCAGCUCUUUAUUGCCUGAGCAGUCUGGGGCUUGCUUCGUCACUUGGCUUUGCUUCGGAGCACUCCUGUAGAGCUCUCUGAAUUGCACAGUGAAGAUCCACCCUUUUGGUGGCCAAGUGACAAGAACCCAAACUCAGACCUGACUUUUCUGAAAGCCUCGGC
rnacentral:lncRNA from 1 species